rnacentral:tRNA from 1 species
AAUCGGUAGACGCUACGGACUAAAAUCCGUCGACUUUAAAAAUCGUGAGGGUUCAAGUCCCUCUAUCCCCA